rnacentral:rRNA from 1 species
UACGUAGGGUGCGAGCGUUGUCCGGAAUUAUUGGGCGUAAAGAGCUCGUAGGCGGUUUGUCGCGUCUGCCGUGAAAGUCCGGGGCUCAACUCCGGAUCUGCGGUGGGUACGGGCAGACUAGAGUGAUGUAGGGGAGACUGGAAUUCCUGGUGUAGCGGUGAAAUGCGCAGAUAUCAGGAGGAACACCGGUGGCGAAGGCGGGAUCUCUGGGCCUACUGACUACGUGAGGACGAAAGCGUGGGGAGCGAACAGG